ACCUCACGACGGCCUACGCGGCGCGCGAGCUACGCCCUGCACGGACGUGGCUGGAACCGGUCGCUCGGCAGCUGCAAGAUCAUCAACAUCGGCGCCGCGUACAUACAGGGCAGGCAGAGGCUGGUGACGCACUUCAGCCGCUCCACCUUCGCGUGCCACACCGAUGAGUACCUCCCAGCCGUCUUCUCGCCGCCAAGCGACGGCGCCACCGUCCCGCCCCCGGCUGAGCCUAGGCACUUCGGCCGACGCGUCCCCGCCGUCGAGCAGCUGGCAUGGGUGCGUCUAGGCGAGGCUAGGAACCAAAUGUGCACCUUGAGAACAAGUUGCAGGAUCAAAUAA
rnacentral:rRNA from 1 species